CAAUAGCGUAUAUUAAAGUUGUUGCGGUUAAAAAGCUCGUAGUUGGAUUUCUGCUGAGAACGAUCGGUCCGCCCUUUGGGUGUGUAUCUGGCUCUUUCUUGGCAUCUUCUUGGUGAACGUUGCUGCACUUGACUGUGUGGAGCGCUACCCAGGACUUUUACUUUGAGGAAAUUAGAGUGUUUCAAGCAGGCAUACGCCUUGAAUACAUUAGCAUGGAAUAAUAAGAUAGGACCUCGGUUCUAUUUUGUUGGUUUCUAGAGCUGAGGUAAUGAUUAAUAGGGAUAGUUGGGGGCAUUCGUAUUUAACUGUCAGAGGUGAAAUUCUUGGAUUUGUUAAAGAUGGACUACUGCGAAAGCAUUUGCCAAGGAUGUUUUCAUUG
rnacentral:rRNA from 1 species